AGUGAACGCUGGCGGUAGGCCUAACACAUGCAAGUCGAACGGCAGCACAGUAAGAGCUUGCUCUUACGGGUGGCGAGUGGCGGACGGGUGAGGAAUACAUCGGAAUCUACUUUUUCGUGGGGGAUAACGUAGGGAAACUUACGCUAAUACCGCAUACGACCUACGGGUGAAAGCAGGGGAUCUUCGGACCUUGCGCGAUUGAAUGAGCCGAUGUCGGAUUAGCUAGUUGGCGGGGUAAAGGCCCACCAAGGCGACGAUCCGUAGCUGGUCUGAGAGGAUGAAUCGGCACACUGGGAACUGGAAAAGGGCCAGACCCCCACGGGAGGCAGCAGUGGGGAAUAUUGGACAAUGGGCGCAAGCCUGAUCCAGCCAUACCGCGUGGGUGAAGAAGGCCUUCGGGUUGUAAAGCCCUUUUGUUGGGAAAGAAAAGCAGCAGGUUAAUACCCCGCUGUUCUGACGGUACCCAAAGAAUAAGCACCGGCUAACUUCGUG
rnacentral:rRNA from 1 species